GACGAACGCUGGCGGCGUGCUUAACACAUGCCAGUCGAACGGAAAGGCCCUGCUUUUGUGGGGUGCUCGAGUGGCGAACGGGUGAGUAACACGUGAGUAACCUGCCCUUGACUUUGGGAUAACUUCAGGAAACUGGGGCUAAUACCGGAUAGGAGCUCCUGCUGCAUGGUGGGGGUUGGAAAGUUUCGGCGGUUGGGGAUGGACUCGCGGCUUAUCAGCUUGUUGGUGGGGUAGUGGCUUACCAAGGCUUUGACGGGUAGCCGGCCUGAGAGGGUGACCGGCCACAUUGGGACUGAGAUACGGCCCAGACUCCUACGGGAGGCAGCAGUGGGGAAUAUUGCACAAUGGGCGGAAGCCUGAUGCGGCAACGCCGCGUGCGGGAUGAAGGCCUUCGGGUUGUAAACCGCUUUCGCCUGUGACGAAGCGUGAGUGACGGUAAUGGGUAAAGAAGCACCGGCUAACUACGUG
rnacentral:rRNA from 1 species